rnacentral:tRNA from 3 species
GGAGGAUUAGCAUAAUUGGUAAUGCAGCAGUCUUGAAAACUGCCGGGUUAACACCCUUGGGGGUUCGAGUCCCUCAUCCUCCG